AUGGCCCAGGUGUCCCUGCUCAGCCCACGGGUGGGCACCACGCCGCACACUCAGGAGCACUUUGCUUUUCCGCUUCGUGUGUGUGGCUGCUCCCCGGGCUCCUCUUUGUGUCCUGAAGUGAGUGCCGACAGGCCUUUCAUUCUCAUCCUUUCUGUCUGCGACUUACCUUCGGGCACAGCUGCGAUUCUCAGCUCUGAGGGACAGUGGGAAGCCCAGGUGAAGCCCAGGUUUGGAGACUUGCGAGAAGGGAGGGCCAGUUGGUUGUUGACGAAGACAUCAGACGACGGUGCUCAGUGUCACCCAAGCUGGAGGACAGCAGGGACCUUCAGCAGCCCAGACCUCUCCCCGACAGCCGCUGUGUACCUGGGGACCCAGCCCCUCUGAGAAUUCGACCUCCUUUCCUGGACAGUUGCGGAGGAGAGGGUUUGACAGUGACUCAGCCUCCAUAUAAACUUCCCUAAGCCUUUAGAAGAAAAGCAACGUGGAAAAUAAAACUCAACCAUAGACGCUAAAGGACAAUGCCAAAAAAUGCAAAUGUGAAAAGUGAGUUGUUAAGCUUAUAGCAGUGUGUGUGCCCUGGCUCUCUGAUGU
rnacentral:lncRNA from 1 species